AACGCUAGCUACAGGCUUAACACAUGCAAGUCGAGGGGCAGCAUGGUCUUAGCUUGCUAAGGCUGAUGGCGACCGGCGCACGGGUGAGUAACACGUAUCCAACCUGCCGUCUACUCUUGGCCAGCCUUCUGAGAGGAAGAUUAAUCCAGGAUGGCAUCAUGAGUUCACAUGUCCGCAUGAUUAAAGGUAUUUUCCGGUAGACGAUGGGGAUGCGUUCCAUUAGAUAGUAGGCGGGGUAACGGCCCACCUAGUCAACGAUGGAUAGGGGUUCUGAGAGGAAGGUCCCCCACAUUGGAACUGAGACACGGUCCAAACUCCUACGGGAGGCAGCAGUGAGGAAUAUUGGUCAAUGGGCGAUGGCCUGAACCAGCCAAGUAGCGUGAAGGAUGACUGCCCUAUGGGUUGUAAACUUCUUUUAUAAAGGAAUAAAGUCGGGUAUGCAUACCCGUUUGCAUGUACUUUAUGAAUAAGGAUCGGCUAACUCCGUGCCAGCAGCCGCGGUAAUACGGAGGAUCCGAGCGUUAUCCGGAUUUAUUGGGUUUAAAGGGAGCGUAGAUGGAUGUUUAAGUCAGUUGUGAAAGUUUGCGGCUCAACCGUAAAAUUGCAGUUGAUACUGGAUGUCUUGAGUGCAGUUGAGGCAGGCGGAAUUCGUGGUGUAGCGGUGAAAUGCUUAGAUAUCACGAAGAACUCCGAUUG
rnacentral:rRNA from 1 species